rnacentral:misc_RNA from 1 species
AACGAGGCCGACCUGCGGCUGAGUUACCUGCGGAAGGAUCAUUACCGAGUGAGGGCCCUCCGGGUCCAACCUCCCACCCGUGUUUAACGAACCUUGUUGCUUCGGCGGGCCCGCCUCACGGCCGCCGGGGGGCACCCCGCCCCCGGGCCCGCGCCCGCCGAAGACACCUGUGAACGCUGUCUGAAGUUGCAGUCUGAGACACUAGCUCAAUCAGUUAAAACUUUCAGCAACGGAUCUCAG